rnacentral:lncRNA from 1 species
GAAAAACAGCAUAAAUUCCAUUAAUUCAAGAAAAUUAACAUGAAAAUGUGUUUUUAGGUGCUUUAAACUUAGACAACAUACAAGUUUGCAUAUAAACCAAUGCGGGGUGUUUAAGCAUGCAUGUAUCAAAAUAUGGUCAUGUAAUAUUUUAUUCCGAUUGUAUACAUAGCAUGAAAUAGUAAAACAUUUAUUUCAUAGCACAACCGCUUGUAUUGCGCUAAAUGUAGUAGGUCGACUUGACGCCAACGCGUUACCAUAAACGAGGCUGCUAUUAUUUUCCUUUGUUUCAUUCUGUGUUUUGUCAGACUUUAUUAACUAUCGCAAGAGCAGUCUUUAAGGGUCGUGUCGCCGCUGUAAAAGGUCUCCCCUUACUUGGAUUCAGCGUUGUUAUAUUUUCUAGUCCUUUGAGUUCACAAAGAGCAUUCAAUUUUAUUAUGAUAUUAUUCCACUUAAGCCGGUGUUAAGGUCACGAGUUGUGUUGUACAUUUCAUAAUCUGUCAUAAACAUGGUCUGCUAGUAUUUUACUUGGUUGCCGAUGUUGAAAUACGGGAGCUAACUCGUCCUUUAGAAUACCUUAUGAGUACGUAGGCGUCUAGUGAGUUAUUAUGUGCGCCUAAUAAUCUAGUAAGUAUAGCACAUUUCUGUUAUAUCAUUUUGAUUGUCUUUUAUAUAAAACCGUAGAUCAAAUGUGGCGGCACCAUUUCUGGACGGCUGUAUGGCGUCAAACAAUAUGUCAAUAAUAUGUGUCGUCAAUAUUGCUGUGAUUUAUUCUGUCAAAUUAGAAUGAAGCAUAAAAUUUACAACAGUUUUUUCACAUAUUGUCUUCUUACAUUGCUUUCAGUCAGCUGCUAACGGCUUUUUAGAACAUGGAUAACAGUGCCUACCUAAUCGAGAUUUAGCAGAUCAGGUUGAUAUCUACACGUCGUAUACAGUUUACGUUAAAACAAUCAACUGAGGUUUAUCCAGUGAAUGCAACGGACAGAGUACAUUUUUCAAGUACUUGAAGGGUAGGCCAGUAUACACUGGGUCAAGAUGGAGGUGAUGAUCAUUCAUACAUUUUAUCAGUGUAUGAGAACAGCCACGUUGGAAAUUAAGAUUAGUCUUCUUCGUACUAGUAUACAUGUACCUCAGUAUGCAAUAGUACGGUGACGGCUUAAAUAUGCCUUUAUAGUCCUGGCUGUGUGAGUUCAUGCAGAUCAUUUUAGGUAAUCUUAAAGACCCACCACGAACGUUACCCUACUUUUUCCUCCCACAUGAACUUCAUGCAAAUCAUUCUGAUAAUACUGGCAUAAUACAGUUAUUCUAACAGAUGACAGGUAACCACGGGCUUUGCUAUCUCAGUAGAGCUUACAUAGUAUAAUGACAGAUGCAGGACUCCCUAUCUUAGAUAAUCCAUCAUUGAACUAUUUUCUUUUGCACAGAGACAUCUUAUAGAUGUGAUUAGGAAUAUAAUAAGGUUUCUAUGAUUUUGCGAAUCUAAGUGUACCUUGUAAUGACAGGCUUAUAGUAUCUGCAUCCUCCUUUUAAGUAUCUUGGUGCCAAACUUGACCAAAUUUACCUAGUAGAUCUAAGGAUUUUUUUUCUGUAUUUCCAGGCUAAACUUCUUUUAAAGAAUAAGAGAUUGCUUUAAUCUGCGUCUUUUUGAUUUUUACUAAUGCCAAACAGGAAAUUUAGACACGAGAGGAAUUUACUGCCCAGAAACUACCAGAAAUUUGUAAAAAAACCUAUCCAGUUACAAUCAGUCAGCAGACCAAAACCCAUAUUAUGUAGAGGAUUAUCCUUCUGUCCUACCCAUGAAAAGUUAAAUAGAAUAGAACUCCAUCGGGAUAUUCUACUUUUCGACAGAAGAAUGAGACUAAAAAGCUAUUUUGCUCAACAGCCCAGAAACGCAACAGACCUAUUCACAGCAAGCUCAGGAUGGACAUUACCGGCUGGCAAAUCAACAAAUUUAGAUGACUUUUUAACCAUGGUCCAUCACGACUGACUUAAAAUCACACCAAAAGAAUAUCUUGCUAUAUAUAACAAAGCUUCAAAAAGUCAUUGACAUCGUUAUAAAACCCUCCGACAAAGGAGGCGCAAUAGUCAUUUUAAACAAAUCAGACUAUAUAGCAGAAGUGUUCAGACAACUUAAAGACACAAGUAUCUACAAAAUGACACCAACCGACUUAACCAGCAAAGCUUCUAGGGAAAUCAACAAUUUUUGGCAUACCUUGGAAACAUUCUCUAUUAAAUAAUAAAAUAUCAACUAUUUAACACCAAAAAAACUGCAGAACUCCCAUCUUCUAUAUACUACCUAAAAUACACAAGCCCAACAAUCCUGUACGACCUAUAGUUUCAGCUUGUGGCAGCCCACAGAAAUGUUAUCAGAUUAUGUAGACUACUUCCUGCAACCACUAGCGAAUAGCAUCCCUUCUUAUAUUAAAGAUACUUACCACUUCCUGGAAAAAUUACAAACACUUAAACAGGUUCCUACAAUAGACGUAACAGCACUUUACACUAAUAUUCCACACAAAGAAGGCAUUUUGCUGCAAAGCACAAUCUACAGAAAAGGAAGGAACAAGAGCCUAAAACCUUGAUUGUUCUUAGACUGCUGCACUUACUUCAUACUAACUAAAACUUGUUUCAGAUUCAACGAUACAUUCUAUGAACAAAUGUGCCCCUAGCUACGCGAUAUUUUUUAUGGACAAGAUCGAACAAGAUCUUUUAGCUAGAUACACACUCGCUCCACUAGUAUGGUGGAGAUACAUUGACGAUAUCUUUAUGAUUUGGCCACAUACCAGAGAGGAAUUAGAUGCUUUCAUCACGGCUCUUAAUAAUUCCAAUCCGACGAUAAAAUUUACCAGCGAUGUCAGCCAGACAACGGUGAACUUCUCGGAUGUCACAAUUACCAAAGAUAGAAACGGCAACUUAUCAACAACAUUAUACACAAAACCUACGGAUGCGAAUAUGUACCUUCACUAUAGUUCAUUCCACCUGAAACACCAAACGAAAAGUAUCCCUUACAGCCAAGCCGUCGGAAUUAGAAGAAUCUGCAGCACGAACGAACAAUUUGAAAAAUGUACAAAUCAAUUAUCCGAAAAUCUUACAGCCAGGAUACCCAAAAAGAUUAGUCAAAGAAACAAUUAACAAAGCUAAAACAACAAAAUAUGACCCCAGCAAAAACACGCCGCAGAAAGAAAGUUUACCGCUUAUAAUAACAUACAACCCAAGGAACCCCAAAACCGAUUUGAUUAUCUCGAAAUACACGUACCUACUGGAUACAGAUCCAACGCUAACAAUGUUUAACAAAAUAAUACAGAAUAAAUAUAGUAGUCCGGAAAUCUACCGGCCUUAGAAAUAUGCUUACCAGGUCAGACAAUAACCCUCCCAUGCAACAACGAAGCUCCCACCCAUGUCACAAGAACUGUAAAACAUGCAGACACAUAAGCGCGAAAUUAGAAAACAGGAUCUAUUAUACAGGAAAAUAUUUCAGAAUUACAAGCUCAUAUGACUGUACAUCAUCUAGCGUAAUUUUCCUGAUUACAUGCCUAAAAUGUGCUAUACAAUAUAUCGGACAAACUGGUAAUACGAUCAGAGAACGCUUCUAUGGACAAUUUGCCGAUAUCAAAACUGUCAAUGACGUAAAACCAGUUUCCCGCCAUUUCUGUUCACACAGCCAUAACGUCAAUGACGUUGACUUCACGGUACUACUGUCAACACCUAGCAAUAUCAACAUCCGCCUCAGAACAGAGGAAACAUUGAUAGCAAUAUUUAAAACAAAAGUACAAUUUGGACUUAACCUAAUAGACUAAAACCACGGAAUCAAGAAUCAAACAAGAACAAACAACUCCAGGCGACGCCUUUACAAUCAUUCACAAAAACCUGAGACAGUGUAACACCUGCAAAAAAUUCUUAAAAGGAUCCAAGAGCAACUUUAACAGACACUAUCUAACUCAUCAAAACACACGUGUAUGUGUGCUUCAUCUGUAAUGACUCGUUUAGCCGACGGGAACACCUCCAGGUCCACAUUAAUAACAAACAUAAACAACCUUCAACUAGAUACAUGACGUGACUAGAAAAAAGAACACUGAAGCAGUGGAAAUAAAACCUGUGAAACCGUGGAAAAAAACAUUUGAGGCAACACUUAAAUUCCGCACCGUACCGGGGAAGAAACAUUGGCUACACACAGAGACGAAAAAGAAAACGGUAAUAACAGAGACAAACAUUUUUGAAGAAAUGAUAAUCCAGGACCCACUGUCUCCAUUACCAGAAUCGCCGUUCAGAAGUAACCAACCUAUACCAUCAGGAAGUGACACUAGCACAUGUACAAACUUCCAAGAUGAAAGAAACGAACUCAAAGACGUAGAUAUCGCAAUUUAUUCUAUCUAUGGUAUUUUUUUCACAGAAUUAAGAUAUCAUGAUCAAAUAUUUACAUAUAUUAUAUGAAUAACUCUAAAUAACAUUGCAACAAACAAUAUAAAAGACUGAACCCGGGACAAUAAAAAUCUAUUUAGAACAAUCACGUGACCUUUGAAACCCGAUUUUUAUACGUUAGUAUUAUGUAUUUCUGUUAUUCAUGUACCCUGAAGAAGACUCGAGAGAGUCGAAACGUUGGUUAUUUCAGUAAACAAACGUUAAAAUCAUUCUGUGUUGAUUGUAUAUUAUAGUAUAUUAGAUGUAGCUAAAUGUUACAUUUUUGUUUCCAAAACAAGUUUGAAGAGACUGAAUGUAAAUACAACUUUAGCAAAAUUUAAACUUUCUUACUGAUUUUUAUUUAGAAACAUAUUUAGUAUUGUCCCAAAUCUAACUCAAAAACCUUUACAGCAGUUUAAAUCGACAAUGCAUGGUUAAUCCAUCGGAAAUAUUUAAACUAAAACUGAUAUAGAUACUGAUUAAAUCGUACAGUACUUUCAGCACAUAUUUAGUUUUGUUAGAAAAGUAUUAAUUCUUAGAGGUAUGUUUUGCGGUAUAUU